rnacentral:hammerhead_ribozyme from 1 species
GCACUGUUGAGGAGUCUCAUAAUAGAACGAAACUGCAGUCCAGUGC